rnacentral:misc_RNA from 1 species
UCACUGCUAUCUACCUUUUUUUUAUUUAUUUAAAUUGUUUCUUUUUGUUCAUCCAAUCUAUCUACCACUUUCAAAACUCUGUUUCUUCUCUUGUAAAAUGGGAUGCUCUGGAUCCUCACUGGCCAAUGGAGAUGAGCGUAAAAAGAAAAUCCGGAAGCCAAAACCAUGGAAGCAUUCUGAGCCAAUCACAAGGACACAACUACUGCAGAUGCGUGAGGAGUUUUGGGAUACUGCUCCUCAUUAUGGUGGGCAGAAAGAGAUAUGGGACGCACUUCAUGCUGCUGCUGAAGCUGAUUUAACUCUUGCACAAGCAAUUGUGGACAGUGCUGGUGUGAUUAUUCAGAGUGAAGACUUGACAAUCUGCUAUGAUGAGAGAGGUGCAAAGUAUGAACUUCCAAAGUAUGUCUUGAGUGAGCCAAAAAAUUUGAUUAAAGAUAAUUGAAAAUGGGGCAAAUGAACGCUAUUCUCCAUUUACGAUAUAUCUUGUAAAAAUUGUCUCAUUUUCAUUUUACUUCUGAAAUGUCUUCCACUUGAAAUUUGUAAGGGCCAUCAUUCAUAUAACAUUCAAAAUGUCAGCCUACUAUUGUGACUUGUGACAUUGUGACUCAAACAAAAUGGGUAAAUAGCUAUUUCUGCAAACUGGUGGUGCUUUUUCAGUCAGUGCAUGAGAGUUUUCCAAAGGAAUAUGUAAUACAAUAGCAGUUCUUGUCAGUGAAAUCUCUGUUGUUUCAAUCCUAUAAACUGCACUUACUAUUUGUGUUAAAUUAGAAAGAGUGUAGACAUAAAGAAUUUAGUAAUGCUGUUUGUAUUGAUGAAACCGUUACCAAUUCUCA